rnacentral:rRNA from 1 species
GAUGAACGCUGGCGGCGUGCCUAAUACAUGCAAGUCGAGCGAACGGACGAGAAGCUUGCUUCUCUGAUGUUAGCGGCGGACGGGUGAGUAACACGUGGAUAACCUACCUAUAAGACUGGGAUAACUUCGGGAAACCGGAGCUAAUACCGGAUAAUAUUUUGAACCGCAUGGUUCAAAAGUGAAAGACGGUCUUGCUGUCACUUAUAGAUGGAUCCGCGCUGCAUUAGCUAGUUGGUAAGGUAACGGCUUACCAAGGCAACGAUGCAUAGCCGACCUGAGAGGGUGAUCGGCCACACUGGAACUGAGACACGGUCCAGACUCCUACGGGAGGCAGCAGUAGGGAAUCUUCCGCAAUGGGCGAAAGCCUGACGGAGCAACGCCGCGUGAGUGAUGAAGGUCUUCGGAUCGUAAAACUCUGUUAUUAGGGAAGAACAUAUGUGUAAGUAACUGUGCACAUCUUGACGGUACCUAAUCAGAAAGCCACGGCUAACUACGUGCCAGCAGCCGCGGUAAUACGUAGGUGGCAAGCGUUAUCCCGAAUUAUUGGGCGUAAAGCGCGCGUAGCGGUUUUUUAGUCUGAUGUGAAAGCCCACGGCUCAUUCGUGGAGGGUCAUUGGAAACUGGAAAACUUGAGUGCAGAAGAGGAAAGUGGAAUUCCAUGUGUAGCGGUGAAAUGCGCAGAGAUAUGGAGGAACACCAGUGGCGAAGGCGACUUUCUGGUCUGUAACUGACGCUGAUGUGCGAAAGCGUGGGGAUCAAACAGGAUUAGAUACCCUGGUAGUCCACGCCGUAAACGAUGAGUGCUAAGUGUUAGGGGGUUUCCGCCCCUUAGUGCUGCAGCUAACGCAUUAAGCACUCCGCCUGGGGAGUACGACCGCAAGGUUGAAACUCAAAGGAAUUGACGGGGACCCGCACAAGCGGUGGAGCAUGUGGUUUAAUUCGAAGCAACGCGAAGAACCUUACCAAAUCUUGACAUCCUUUGACAACUCUAGAGAUAGAGCCUUCCUCUUCGGGGGACAAAGUGACAGGUGGUGCAUGGUUGUCGUCAGCUCGUGUCGUGAGAUGUUGGGUUAAGUCCCGCAACGAGCGCAACCCUUAAGCUUAGUUGCCAUCAUUAAGUUGGGCACUCUAAGUUGACUGCCGGUGACAAACCGGAGGAAGGUGGGGAUGACGUCAAAUCAUCAUGCCCCUUAUGAUUUGGGCUACACACGUGCUACAAUGGACAAUACAAAGGGCAGCGAAACCGCGAGGUCAAGCAAAUCCCAUAAAGUUGUUCUCAGUUCGGAUUGUAGUCUGCAACUCGACUACAUGAAGCUGGAAUCGCUAGUAAUCGUAGAUCAGCAUGCUACGGUGAAUACGUUCCCGGGUCU